AUUAGUUUUGCUUCUCUUCCCUUGUGUUCAUCUGUUUUGUAUCUUAAAGUCCUCAUAUGAGUGAAGUCUUAUGACAUUUGUCUUUCUCUGAAUGACUAAUUUCACUGAGCAGAAUACCCUCUAGUUCCAUCCAUCCGUACUAUUGCAAAUGGCAGGAUUUCAUUCUU